CUAUGGAGGAAGGUUCCAUCCGGAGAGUUGUCGAUUGAUCCGGAAGCUGACGAGCGGCGCGGCCGGGCAACUGGCCUCGUCGAAGCCUCGUGACAAAGGCCGCCUUGGGCGGCCGAGCGAUCCAACGGGCCGUAACGUGA
rfam:Nitrobacter hamburgensis X14, complete genome.